rnacentral:lncRNA from 1 species
CUCAAACCGAGUUGUUUGCAAAAUUUUGCCUUUUGCUUAUGUCUAAGUAGGGAGCAUUAUUGAAUAAAUUUGGUUUUGGAAUCUAAAGUUGGGGAGAGUAAAGUGAAAAGUUGAUUAGAAACUUGGAAAAGUGAGUUUUUAUGAAAGGGUAAAAAUAUGAAAAGAAACAAGAAAAAGAAAUUACCCUUGAAACCAUAGAGCAAAGAAAAAAGAAUAGAAAAAAAAAGCAAAGAAAAUGCUCAUGGUUGUGUGGAUUUGAAAAGAAAAAAAAAAGAAAAAGAAAAAGAUAGGGAUCAAAGAAAGGGAAAUUGUGUAGAGUUAAAUGUUUGAGAAUGCUCCCUUAGGAUAGGCAAUUUGGUUGAAUUCUCUUAAUCAUAUCCUUUCUUGUAACCUAAGCCACAUUACAACCUUUGAA